rnacentral:rRNA from 1 species
AGUGAACGCUGGCGGUAGGCCUAACACAUGCAAGUCGAACGGCAGCACAGUAAGAGCUUGCUCUUACGGGUGGCGAGUGGCGGACGGGUGAGGAAUACAUCGGAAUCUACUUUUUCGUGGGGGAUAACGUAGGGAAACUAACGCUAAUACCGCAUACGACCUCCGGGUGAAAGCAGGGGAUCUUCGGACCUUGCGCGAUUGAAUGAGGCGAUGUCGGAUUAGAUAGUUGGCGGGGUAAAGGCCCACCAAGGCGACGAUCCGUAGCUGGUCUGAGAGGAUGAUCACCCACACUUGAACUGAGACCCGGUCCAGACUCCUACGGGAGGCACCAGUGGGGAUUAUUGCACAAUUGUCGCAAUCCUGAUCCAGCCAUUCCGCGUGGGUGAAGAAGGUCUUCUGUUUGUAAAGCCCUUUUUUUGUUAAAGAAAAGCAUCAUUUUAUUACCCCGCUGUUCUGCCGGUACCCAAAGAAUAAGCACCGGCUAACUUCGUG